UGGAAUGAUGAUGCUUAGCCA
rnacentral:siRNA from 1 species